CCGUAUUAAGGGCUAAUUCGUUGAUGAUUUUGACCUUUUGUGGUAUAAAUAGCCCGCUUUUUAAAAUACACACACGCUUCGUCACAUACGACAGGGUCCCACAAGGGUGCCGUAUGGGAAGUGUGGAGGCCUAACC
rnacentral:misc_RNA from 1 species